UGACAGGGCGGCAACCUCCUCCUCCAUGUUGGGCUCUGCCAGCAGGUCUGGGCCCGGUGACAGACCCCGCACAGCGGAGAACUGCCAUUCCUUCCUGGGCGUCCCGGGGAUCCCGGAGCCGGCCCAGGUACCAGCAGGCCGAGCCCUGCAGCGGAGCGCCAGGCCGACCGCCCCGACCGCCGACCACAGAGGAGCCACACGCAGGACGACUGAAGCCUGAUUUGGGAUCUCGGGUUUUGCAGGACCUGGGUGAUCACCCAAGGAGUGAAAAUGGCCUUUUUAUGAGAAAUUGCCAAAAUUGAUGCAAGCUCGUCAGUCAAAAAGGUAGAAAUAUCGUUUGACUUCUGUUUUGCUGACAAGAAAUGUGGUCCUGACAAGGCUACCUGGGACAAUGACCUCACAGAAAACGCUGGAGCCCAUCUGUUUCCAAUCUGCUGUUUCCCAAAAAUUAGGGAAGUUCAGCUUUCCCUUUGAUACUCUCUGUUUCUAACAACCCCAAUGCCAGGGCUGUCCUGCUUCUACAAGUGACAAUGACAAAUAUAGACCUGAAGGAAGGUGAGCCGAUGGCAUUCCCAGCUUAUUACCACUCCUUGGGGGCCUUAUCUCACAUACAUGGAUUCAACUCAUAGACUCAGCUGGAGUCAGACCACUCUUCCCUAGCUGUGCUGUGGUUUUCUGGGGGUCCACUCUUGACCCUCGUCACCUCAGUCUCUCCUGCAUCUGGAGGUAUCACCAGUGAAGCCUGCAAAACAGCAGAGAUGGCAGCCUGUUCCUUCCUCUGGGAGCACCAGUCCAAGGGGAUACUGACUUGAUGCCAGCUGGAACGCUCCUGUAGGAGGUGUCUGGAGGCCCUUGUUGGGAGGUUUUGCCCAGUCAGGAGGAACAGGAUCAGGGACUGCUUAAAGAAGCAGUCUGGCUGCCCUUUGGCAGAGCAAGUGUGCUGUGCUGAUCCCCAGGAGUCUCCAGAGCCAGCAGGCUGGAAAGGCUCAGUCGGCUGAACUGGGGAGACAGCAGCUAACCCUUUCCCUGGGGACUUCACCUCAGGGAGAAAUCAGGGUUCUGUCCAUAGAACUCUGGCUGGAGUUGCUAAAAUUCCGAUGGGGAGGCCCUGUCCAGUGAGGAGGGAUGGAUUUUGGUCUCACUUAAAGUAGCAGCCUGGCCAUGAUCAGGCUCAGCAGCUGUGCUGUGUUAUGGGGAACUCCUCCUGGUCCCUGGUGCCAGCAGGCUAGAGCGGCCAACUCAAACCACAGAUAUUGCGGCUGCCCUCCCCCUGGGAACUUGGUCCAUCUCCGGCUGUCUCCAGCCUGCUGCCACUGGCCAGCUGGAAUUCCCAGCCAAUGGGUCUUAUGAGGUGCUGUGGGAGUGGGCCUCAGAAUGAUGUCACUUGGCUCCCUGGCUUCAGACCCCUUCCUAGGGGAAUG